rnacentral:rRNA from 1 species
AGUCAAUAGAUACCCGGGUAGUCCACGCCGUAAACGAUGAGUACUAGGUGUAGGAGGUAUCGACUCCUUCUGUGCCGCAGUUAAACACAAUAAGUACUCCGCCUGGGAAGUACGGUCGCAAGAUUAAAACUCAAAGGAAUUGACGGGGGCCCGCACAAGCAGCGGAGCAUGUGGUUUAAUUCGAAGCAACGCGAAGAACCUUACCUAGACUUGACAUCUCCUGAAUAGUGUAGAGAUACAUGAAGCCCUUCGGGGCGAGGAAGACAGGUGGUGCAUGGUUGUCGUCAGCUCGUGUCGUGAGAUGUUGGGUUAAGUCCCGCAACGAGCGCAACCCUUAUUACUAGUUGCUACCAUUAAGUUGAGCACUCUAGUGAGACUGCCCGGGGUUAA